CUACUCUUGACAUCCAGAGAACUUUCCAGAGAUGGAUUGGUGCCUUCGGGAACUCUGAGACAGGUGCUGCAUGGCUGUCGUCAGCUCGUGUUAUGAAAUGUUGGGUUAAGUCCCGCAACGAGCGCAACCCUUAUCCUUUGUUGCCAGCGGUCCGGCCGGGAACUCAAAGGAGACUGCCAGUGAUAAACUGGAGGAAGGUGGGGAUGACGUCAAGUCAUCAUGGCCCUUACGAGUAGGGCUACACACGUGCUACAAUGGCGCAUACAAAGAGAAGCGACCUCGCGAGAGCAAGCGGACCUCAUAAAGUGCGUCGUAGUCCGGAUUGGAGUCUGCAACUCGACUCCAUGAAGUCGGAAUCGCUAGUAAUCGUGGAUCAGAAUGCCACGGUGAAUACGUUCCC
rnacentral:rRNA from 1 species